AAUUUGAGAAUUUAGGACUUUGCACCAAUUAUUCACCAAUUGAAUUUUUAAUGGACAAAACCGUUGGGCCUGAGACGAGACCGUUGCAUUUGAGACUGUCGAGUCUUGGAAUAUUGGCUUGAGACCACCGGGCCUUGAAAGAGGUGUAUACUGCGCCAAUUAAUUUUCAAUUAAUGCCUUUCCCUUCUCUAGCUGGUUCCUUCACGGCUUGGUGCUAGAAAUAGAUGUCUUUUAAUUUGAUCAAGACACCCAAGGAAAUCCUUCUGCUAGUGAAAUAUGGAUAGGCCAUAUUGUUCCUUGUUGGAUUUGAAGACAAGAGGCACAAGAAGAACAUGCCUUUUUCUGAAUAGGAUUAGACUCCAAAGAGAUGUGCCUCCACUUCUUUUAUCUUUUGCUGACUUUUCUUUUUUUCUUCGUGAUGGCUAUCUUUUUUUUUCUUUUUUUUUCUAUUGCUGCUAUAUGCCUCACCAAGCCAGGCCUUCGAAUCGUGCUGACUUGCUUUUUUUUGUCCAUUGCAUGCACCAAGCUUUCCUCCAGUAAAAGAAAAACAUGGCUGGAUUUCCCCUUUUUUUGAUGGCUGAAGCAAACCACUCAUAUUUGCUUUUGGGCUGGGGUCUCUCUUCUCUUAAACCAGAACCGAAACAAAAAGUGGCGUACAUCCACUUUUUCUUUCCUUUAUUUUUUGUUGUUGUUUUUGACUUCUUUUUUGUUUUGUUUUUUCUUUUUUUUGGUUUUGUUUGUGGGUUUUGUUCCCAAAAUUGGAUCUGUCAUCCAGAGCACUCAGUGAAUGAGCUUUAUGCCCAAAAUGGAUAUAUCACAGAGUAUUUGAUUGAGGGUUACACACCCAUGAUGGAUUUUGUAUCCAAGAUUUGUUUGGGGUGCAAAACCCAAAGUCUUGAUUGAGGGUGAAACACCCAAAUCUUAUUUUUAGGGUGUAAACCCAUACCCAAGCUUUGUUUCCGGGGUGCAAAACCCAAUGCUUUGAUUUCAGGGUUUCUAUCCCAAUAAUGGAUUUCAUAUCCAAUAAUUUUUCGGGUUACUCACCCAUGGAUUUGCAUCCAAAUGGUUUCGGGGUUACUCACCCAUGAAUUUGCAUCCAAGAAAUUUCAGGGUUUCUCACCCAAUAAUGGAUUUCAUAUCCAAUGAUUUUUUGGGCUACUCACCCAUGGAUUUGCAUCCAAACGGUUUUAGGGUUACUCACCCACGGAUUUACAUCCAAGAAAUUUCAUUGAAGGGUUGCCACCCCACAUGGAUUGUCAUCCAUUUGAUUGAUUAAAGGGUUGCCACCCAACAUGGAGGACCUCAAGAGAGAAGCCUUGUUGCCGAUGCAUCUUUGAUUGCUUAUAUCUUUUUAUCUCUCCAGCCUUUCGGCGGUGCUUCUCUGCCUUUGUGCCUUGCAAGCUGUUAUUUUUAUUUGAAGCCUCCUCUUUUAGUUUUGUAUUUGCAACCUCAUGGCUGCCU
rnacentral:lncRNA from 1 species